UCCACGCCCUAAACGAUGAACACUAGUCGUCGGGAUGCUAGUCAUCUCGGUGAUGCACUUAACAGAUUAAGUGUUCCGCCUGGGGAGUACGGUCGCAAGAUUAAAACUCAAAGGAAUAGACGGGGACCCGCACAAGUGGUGGAGCAUGUGGUUUAAUUCGAAAAUACGCGAAGAACCUUACCUAGCCUUGACAUUGAAAGAAUCCCGAGAGAUGUAAUGCCCCAGGGACGAAA
rnacentral:rRNA from 1 species